CGUGAAAUUGUCGAAAGGGAAGCGCUUGAAGUCAGCCAUGCUGCUUGAGACUCAGCCUUGCUUUUGCUUGGUGUAUUUCUCGGUAGCAAGCCAGCAUUGGUUUGAGUCGUCGGAGAAGGGUACGAGAAAUGUGGCAUCCUCGGAUGUGUUAUAGGCUUGUACUGGAUACGACGAUUUGGAUCAAGGAACGCAGUGUGCCUCUGGCGGGUCUUCGGACAC
rnacentral:rRNA from 1 species